CGGUGGAGCAUGUGGUUUAAUUCGAAGACAACGCGAAGAACCUUACCAGGCCUUGACAUGCAGAGAACUUUCCAGAGAUGGAUUGGUGCCUUCGGGAACUCUGACACAGGUGCUGCAUGGCUGUCGUCAGCUCGUGUCGUGAGAUGUUGGGUUAAGUCCCGUAACGAGCGCAACCCUUGUCCUUAGUUACCAGCACGUUAUGGUGGGCACUCUAAGGAGACUGCCGGUGACAAACCGGAGGAAGGUGGGGGAUGACGUCAAGUCAUCAUGGCCCUUACGGCCUGGGCUACACACGUGCUACAAUGGUCGGUACAAAGGGUUGCCAAGCCGCGAGGUGGAGCUAAUCCCAUAAAACCGAAUCGUAGUCCGGAUCGCAGUCUGCAACUCGACUGCGUGAAGUCGGAAUCGCUAGUAAUCGUGAAUCAGAAUGUCACGGUGAAUACGUUCCCGGGCCUU
rnacentral:rRNA from 1 species